rnacentral:rRNA from 1 species
UUGUAGCCUGCUAUGGUAUAACUUAGUGGCAGACGGGUGAGUAAUAUAUAGGAAUCUACCUAGUAGUACGGAAUAAUUGUUGGAAGCGGCAACUAAUACCGUAUACGCCCUACGGGGGAAAAAUUUAUUGCUAUUAGAUGAGCCUAUAUUAGAUUAGCUAGUUGGUGGAGUAAUAGCCUACCAAGGCAAUGAUCUAUAGCUGAUCUGAGAGGAUGAUCAGCCACACUGGAACUGAGAUACGGUCCAGACUCCUACGGGAGGCAGCAGUGGGGAAUAUUGGACAAUGGGCGAAAGCCUGAUCCAGCCAUGCCGCAUGAGUGAAGAAGGCCUUUGGGUUGUAAAGCUCUUUUAGUGAGGAAGAUAAUGACGGUACUCACAGAAGAAGUCCUGGCUAACCCCGUGCCAGCAGCCGCGGUAAUACGGAGAGGGCUAGCGUUAUUCGGAAUUAUUGGGCGUAAAGGGCGCGUAGGCUGGUUAGUAAGUUAAAAGUGAAAUCCCGAGGCUUAACCUUGGAACUGCUUUUAAAACUGCUAACCUAGAGAUUGAAAGAGGAUAGAGGAAUUCCUAGUGUAGAGGUGAAAUUCGUAAAUAUUAGGAGGAACACCAGUGGCGAAGGCGUCUAUCUGGUUCAAAUCUGACGCUGAGGCGCGAAGGCGUGGGGAGCAAACAGGAUUAGAUACCCUGGUAGUCCACUCUGUAAACGAUGAAUGUUAAAUAUGGGAAGUUUACUUUCUGUAUUACAGCUAACGCGUUAAACAUUCCGCCUGGGGACUACGGUCGCAAGAUUAAAACUCAAAGGAAUUGACGGGGACCCGCACAAGCGGUGGAGCAUGUGGUUUAAUUCGAUGCAACGCGAAAAACCUUACCACUCCUUGACAUGAAAAUCAUACCUAUUC